UACGUAGGGGGCGAGCGUUGUCCGGAUUUACUGGGCGUAAAGAGCGCGCAGGCGGUCAAUCAAGUCGAGUGUGAAAGCCCCCGGCUCAACUGGGGAGGGUCACGCGAUACUGCUUGACUCGAAGGCGGGAGAGGGAAGUGGAAUUCCCGGUGUAGUGGUGAAAUGCGUAGAUAUCGGGAGGAACACCAGUGGCGAAGGCGACUUCCUGGCCCGUUCUUGACGCUGAGGCGCGAAAGCUAGGGGAGCAAACGGG
rnacentral:rRNA from 1 species